CUUGUGGUUGCUCCUUUCUCCCGGAUUGCAGUUUGCAGUCCCCUGGGGAGGCAGAAAACCAGAAGACGGAAGGGGUGGGUGUGUUAGACCCAGAGGAAACCCCUCUCGAUCCCGUCCUCACAUCUCCAUGCACUAAAAGGGACUCAAUCUUAGGUCCAGUGGACCCCAGAUCAUCCCCCCGAAGAAAAGCUAAAUUUGGACAGAGAUGGCGCCGGACACAACCCCCAGUCUUUUAGUCAGUUCCAGGGGCUCGUUCCACACUCUGGGGACUCUGAAUCGAAAAGGGGGUCCCUGGGGCAGGGUGGGGUUAAAAAGAAUUACUGUGGAGCUGUCUCUGUGGCCUGGGAAAACCGCUGCUUCCUCAUUGGCCACUGAGGUCGAGGAAGACUCCCCUCCCCCCCCAGACACGCCCAGCCAGCGCCCAGAAGAGUGACUUCAGACCACAGAUCAGGCAGUGAAGACUGAAGGAGACUGCAGCCAUGUCCUGCCCGCCAUCCGCAGCACACGGUGGGAUGUCACUCCAGGACCUUGCUUCAGACGUGCAAAGAAGGGAGUUAUUGUGCUGGCUGGGAUGAGUGAUCCUGACUACCAAGGGGACAUUGGACCACUACUUCGUGAUGGAGGUGAAAAAGAGCAUGUCUGGAAUACAGAUGAUUCCUUAGUAUUACCAGGCCCUGUGAUUAAGGACAAUGGAAAACUACAACAACCCAACUUAGUCAGGGCUUAUAAUGGUCCAGAUCCUUCAAGA